rnacentral:rRNA from 1 species
CCUACGGGCGGCAGCAGUGGGGAAUAUUGCACAAUGGGGGAAACCCUGAUGCAGCGACGCCGCGUGAGUGAAGAAGUAAUUCGUGAUGUAAAGCUCUAUCAGCAGGGAAGAAAAUGACGGUACCUAAGUAAGAAGCCACGGCUAACUACGUGCCAGCAGCCGCGGUAAUACGUAGGGGGCAAGCGUUAGCCGGAUUUACUGGGUGGAAAGUGAGCGUAGACGGCAGUGCAAGUAUGGAGUGAAAGGCGGGGGCUCAACCCCCGGACUGCUCGGGAAACUGUAAGGCUGGAGUGCAGGAGAGGUAAGUGGAAUUCCUAGUGUAGCGGUGAAAUGCGUAGAUAUUAGGAGGAACACCAGUGGCGAAGGCGGCUUACUGGACUGUAACUGACGUUGAGGCUCGAAAGCGUGGGGAGCAAACAGGAUUAGAUACCCUUGUAGUC